UACGUAGGGUGCGAGCGUUAAUCGGAAUUACUGGGCGUAAAGCGUGCGCAGGCGGUUAUAUAAGACAGAGGUGAAAUCCCCGGGCUCAACCUGGGAACUGCCUUUGUGACUGUAUAGCUUGAGUGCGGCAGAGGGGGAUGGAAUUCCGCGUGUAGCAGUGAAAUGCGUAGAUAUGCGGAGGAACACCGAUGGCGAAGGCAAUCCCCUGGGCCUGCGCUGACGCUCAUGCACGAAAGCGUGGGGAUCAAACAGG
rnacentral:rRNA from 1 species